AGGGGAGUGGCUCAAUUGGUAGAGUAGCGGUCUCCAAAACCGUCGGUUGCAGGUUCGAGUCCUGUCUCCCCUGCCA
rnacentral:tRNA from 2 species